GACGAACGCUGGCGGCGUGCCUAAUACAUGCAAGUUGAGCGCUGAAGGUUGGUACUUGUACCAACUGGAUGAGCAGCGAACGGGUGAGUAACGCGUGGGGAAUCUGCCUUUGAGCGGGGGACAACAUUUGGAAACGAAUGCUAAUACCGCAUAAAAACUUUAAACACAAGUUUUAAGUUUGAAAGAUGCAAUUGCAUCACUCAAAGAUGAUCCCGCGUUGUAUUAGCUAGUUGGUGAGGUAAAGGCUCACCAAGGCGAUGAUACAUAGCCGACCCGAGAGGGGGAUCGGCCAAAUUGGGACUGGGACACGGCCCAAACUCCUACGGGAGGCAGCAGUAGGGAAUCUUCGGCAAUGGACGAAAGUCUGACCGAGCAACGCCGCGUGAGUGAAGAAGGGUUUCGGAUCGUAAAACUCGGUUGGUAGAGAAGAACGUUGGUGAGAGUGGAAAGCUCAUCAAGUGACGGUAACUACCCAGAAAGGGACGGCUAACUACGUG
rnacentral:rRNA from 1 species